rnacentral:rRNA from 1 species
ACUCCUACGGGAGGCAGCAGUGGGGAAUAUUGCACAAUGGGCGCAAGCCUGAUGCAGCCAUGCCGCGUGUGUGAAGAAGGCCUUGGGUUGUAAAGCACUUUCAGUCGUGAGGAAGGUAGUGUAGUUAAUAGCUGCAGUAUUUGACGUUAGCGACAGAAGAAGCACCGGCUAACUCCGUGCCAGCAGCCGCGGUAAUACGGAGGGUGCGAGCGUUAAUCGGAAUUACUGGGCGUAAAGCGCAUGCAGGUGGUUGUUAAGUCAGAUGUGAAAGCCCGGGGCUCAACCUCGGAAUAGCAUUUGAAACUGGCAGACUAGAGUACUGUAGAGGGGGUAGAAUUUCAGGUGUAGCGGUGAAAUGCGUAGAGAUCUGAAGGAAUACCGGUGGCGAAGGCGGCCCCUGGACAGAUACUGACACUCAGAUGCGAAAGCGUGGGAGCAAACAGGAUUAGAU